rnacentral:lncRNA from 1 species
AACGAAAUAGAUAGGAGGAAGAGGCAAAAUAGUGUGCAAGAUGGGGGACAAUCCAAUGAGCACAAUGUUGAACCUGCUGAAACUGCUGUUCCAAUAUCUGUGGUUGAUAGAGAACUGUCUUCGGUGGAUUCAACAAUCCUAUUGAACAAUCAAGCAAACAAUGAGCACAAUGUUGAACCGGCUGAAACCGCGGUUCAGAUAGCUGUGGUUGAUAGAGAAGUGUCUCAGGUAAACUCUGAAUCCUUAGUUGUUACACCAAUCUCAGAAUUCAAAUCAAACGAAGAAGCACAUGCAGAAUUUGCGAGAACUCAAACAGGUGAGAUUAAGAAGAAAAAGAAGAAAAAUAAGAAGAAGAGUGUGAUCAAUGGGGAAGAAUCAAAUGAACCCAAACCCUCGUUAGACGUGACACUUUCUACUGAGUUUGAAAUUAAAAAAGAAGUGGAAAAAAGUGAAGUAUAUGCUGAAUUUGCGAAAACUCAAACAGGUGAGAUUAAGAAGAAAAAGAAAAAGAAGAAGAGUGAGAUCAAUGGGGAAGAAUCAAAUGAACCCAAACCCUCGUUAGACGUGACACUUUCUACUGAGUUUGAAAUUAAAAAAGAAGUGGAAAAAAGUGAAGUAUAUGCAGAAUUUGCGAAAACUCAAANNNNNNNNNNNNNNNNNNAAACUCAAACAGGUGAGAUUAAGAAGAAAAAGAAAAAGAAGAAGAGUGUGAUCAAUGGGGAAGAAUCAAAUGAACCCAAACCCUCGUUAGACGCGUCGGGUUCUACAGAGUUUGAAAAUAAAAAAGAAGUGGAAAAAAGUGAAGUAUAUGCUGAAUUUGCGAAAACUCAAACAGGUGAGAAGGGGAAGAGAAAAUCAAAAAGUGAAAUAGGGAAAAUGGGUGAAGUGGUGGUUUUGGAGAAUGUACUCAAUCAUGAUUUGGAACAAGUAAACGAAAUAGAUAGGAGGAAGAGGCAAAAGAGUGUGCAAGAUGGGGCACAAUCCAAUGAGGACAAUGUUGAACCGGCUGAAAUUGCGGUUCAGAUAUCUGUGGUUGAUAGAGAAUUGUCUUCGGUGGACCCAACAAUCCGAUUGAACAAUCAACCUGCAAAUUUAGUAGAGCAAAAGGAUGUGAGAAAAAUAAGGCAAGAGAAGCACUUGGAGCUAAUGAAGAUGCAAAGUAUAAUAGCAAAAGAUGAGAGAAAAAAAAGGCAAGAGAAGCACUUGGAGAUAUCGAAGAUAGCAAAGGAAAAGAGAAAAAUAAGGCAAGAGAAGCACUUGGAGCUAAUGAAGAUGCGUAAGACAGCAAAGGAAGAGAGAAAAAGGUUGACGAAGAAAAGAGUUAACGAUGAGAGCAAUAAGAUGCAAGCGGAAAGUAAGUAUGAACUCAAAAGUACAGGGGACCAAUCCAAAGAACACAAUGCUGAACCGGUUAAAACCGCGGUUCAGAUAUCGGUGGUUGAUAGAGAAGUCUCUUUGGUGGACCCAACAAUGCGAUUGAACAAUCAACCAAACAAUGAGCACAAUGUUGAACCGGCUGAAACUUCGGUUCAGAUAUCUGUACUCGAUAGAGAAGCAUCUCAGGUAAACUCUGAACCUUUAGUAGUUACACCAAUCUCAGAAUUCAAAUCAAAUGAAGAAGCAUGUGCAGAAUUUGCGAAUACUCAAACAGAUGAUAUUAAGAAGAAGAACAAAAAGAAGAAGAGUGCGAUCAAUGGGGAAGAAUCAAAUGAACCCAAAUCCUCAUUAGACGUGACGGUUUCUACAGAGUUUGAAAAUAAAAAAGAAGUGGAAAAAAGUGAAGUAUAUGCAGAAUUUGCGAAAACUCAAACAGGUGAGAUUAAGAAGAAGAAGAAGAAGAAAAAGAAGAGUGUGAUCAAUGGGGAAGAAUCAAAUGAACCCAAAUCCUCGUUUGACGCGACGGUUUCUACAGAGUUUGAAAAUAAAAAAGAAGUGGAAAAAAGUGAAGUAUAUGCAGAAUUUGCGAAAACUCAAACAGGUGAGAUUAAGAAGAAGAAGAAGAAAAAGAAGAGUGUGAUCAAUGGGGAAGAAUCAAAUGAACCCAAACCCUCGUUAGACGCGACGGUUACUACAGAGUUUGAAAAUAAAAAAGAAGGGGGAAAAAGUGAAGUAUAUACAGAAUUUGGGAAAACUCAAUCAGGUAAGAAGAGGAAGAGAAAAUCAAAAAGUGAAACAGGGAAAAUGGGUGAGGUGGUGGUUGUGGAGAAUGUACUCAGUCAUGAUUCGGAGCAAGUAAACGAAAUAGAUAGGAGGAAGAGUCAAAAGAGUGUGCAAGAGGGGGCACAAUCCAAUGAGGACAAUGUUGAACCGGCUGAAACUGCGGUUCAGAUGUCUGUGGUUGAUAGGGAAUUGUCUCCGGUGGACCCAACAAUCCGAUUGAACAAUCAACCUGCAAAUUUAGUAGAGCAAAAGGAUGAGAGAAAAAGGUUGAAGAAGAUAAGAGUCAUGGAUGAGAUAAAUAAGGAUAAGAUGCAAGUGAAAAGG